UACGGGGGGGGUAAGCGUUGUUCGGAAUUACUGGGCGUAAAGGGCUCGUAGGCGGCCAACUAAGUCGAACGUGAAAUCCCCGGGCUCAACCCGGGAACUGCGUCCGAUACUGGAAGGCUUGAAUCCGGGAGAGGGAUGCGGAAUUCCAGGUGUAGCGGUGAAAUGCGUAGAUAUCUGGAGGAACACCGGUGGCGAAGGCGGCAUCCUGGACCGGCAUUGACGCUGAGGCGCGAAAGCCAGGGGAGCAAACGGG
rnacentral:rRNA from 1 species